UAGUAACGGCGAGUGAGGCGGGAAGAGCUCAAGAUAAAAAUUCUCACUUUUUAACUCAAAGUGCAGAAAAUGUGAUCUUGCGAUUUAGUACUAGAUUUGACCCGAGCAUAACGAAAGUCUGUUGGAACGCAGCACCGGAGAAGGUUAUAGUCCUGUUCAUUGUUAUCUCUUUAAGGGUUUGGUCAUACAGUCUGAAUUCAUCGAGUCGUGUUGCUUGGGAGUGCAGCACAAAUUGGGAGGUACAGAUCUUCUAAAGCUAAAUAUUGGCGAGAGACCGAUAGCGAACAAGUACCGUGAGGGAAAGAUGAAAUAGCACCUGGAAACGGGAGUGAAAUCAGAGCUUGAAAUUGUUAAGAGGUAAAAGCCGGGGAGACUUUCUCAUUUUUUUAUAUUGCUUUCUUUUUGGAUGUCGUAAGGCUUACCAGAAAGGUUAUAAAGCCGCCAAUGCAGUUUAUCUUUGCAUGGUGAUAUCGAUAGUGCGCCAAGGUAGUUUCCACCGCAGCAGCUCGCUGAUUUUGGUGUACUCAUAACUCAUAUAAGGCGCAUUAUCAUCUAAGGUUUCACGGGAUAAAUUGUGUGGAUAAAACCACAUAGCGUAGGGCUACUGUUGCGUGGUGCUGUUUGUGAGUUGCGGGUGAGGGGUUUCUGACCCACCGCCUCUUCUUGCAAGUAUUACACCAUGUGCUGAGGUUCCGGGCUAAUC
rnacentral:rRNA from 1 species